AAGUCGUAACAAGGUUUCCGUAGGUGAACCUGCGGAGGGAUCAUUAAUGAGAACUUGCCCUUCGGGGUAGAUCUCCCAUCCUUUGUCUAUUCUACCUUUGUUGCUUUGUCAGGCCCGUCUCUCGGGACCGCCGGCCCUCGGGCUGGUCAGCGCCUGACGGAGGAAACCAAACUCUUUUUAAAAUGUCGUCUGAGUACUAUAUAAUAGUUAAAACUUUCAACAACGGAUCUCUUGGUUCUG
rnacentral:misc_RNA from 1 species